GCCUGCUGUCAUGAUUCACUCUCCAGCAUUGUCCCGCCCACAGCACCAUCUCAUCUGAUUGGUUACACACAGUGCCACGGCAGGGCUAACAGCCAAUCAGCAGUGAAAGCUCAGCACCCAAAGUGGCCUCGCAUACACACAGAGCAGAGUUUUUUUCUGAGCCCAACGCGUCGUCCCUACCGACGUGGAAAUCUACGAUGUGGCUGGCAAGGCGCUCAGCCACCGCUGCACUGCUGGCCGCGAUCAGCCGGCGGGACAUCAGAUCAAAGGGACCCCCUGGGCGACACAAGACGAGAGGAAGCACAGUGUCAGCCGUUUGUUUCGACGCUUUAUCUCCUCCCAUGUUUGGCCUCGGUGUGGUCGAGUGGCACGCGCAGACGCCUCUUUGAAGUUCACUAACAAUGCCUGACGUCAAAUUUGAACAAGACUGGCUCGAUGGGUUGCAAGGCAUGUCGGUGACGGUGCCCUUGAAGCAAGCUAUGUUCAUUGAGGGCAUACUGAAGGUUGGGAAGAAAAAAAAAAGAGAUAGCAUUGUCGUCUUCCUAAUGGUAGCCACAGCUCAUUAGAUCCUGCGGGUGUGCCUAAUUUUGUGGUUGGGAUUAGUCAAGACACUUGGAAAAAUAACUUUUGACCAUAGUUCCCAUGAAAGACAAAUAAUAUGAUUCGUGUGGAAAAAAACAAAACAUUACAUUUGGAAAACUACUUGGAAUAAGGGUCAUACUGACAAGGGGGGAAAACAAGUGUAUAUAUAUUUUUAAGCAUGUCACACAAAACAUUUUUUCCAGACAAAUGUUCACUUUUUUUUU